ensembl:ncRNA lncRNA:CR45036 long non-coding RNA:CR45036
AGCUUGUUGUUGGAGUCCCAGAUCUCCGGAUAUUUCUUGAUCGCCUUCAAGAGCUGGGCUCGAUUUACGAACGGAUCCUCCUUGGGCAUGGCCACAGCGAAACUGGUCACACUGGCACUGAAUGAUACCGUACCGCGGCAAUGAUUCCAAAGGCGAUGUGAAACUGCGCCGGCGGAGCACAACUGCGUCCUUUGACAUCAAUUAUCGGCGAAUAACUGAAAGUAGAGUUUGCAAAAAUAUGCGAAUUGAAAAUGAAAAGGCACAGCGAUUGAGGAAAAUAGAGAAAACGAUGACGGCGACGGCGACGCCAGCUUUUCGUUGUUGUUGCCCCGAUGCCGAAGAGAUUGGAAAGGCAGCGAAAGCGUACACGAGAUGAGAUACACAAAAUGCAGGCGAGAAGAGAGAACAGGGAGAAUGUGCAAAAAAAAAAAAAGACAGAAAAAGGAAAGAAGAGUCAGCAGCGACGACGUCAGUUUUACAUACAAAAGUCUCCGCGUGUAGGUGCUUGUAUCUGUGUGAGUGAGUAAGUGUGUAAGAUGGCAGGGCGAAAAAGCAAAACAGACACAAGCAACAAGACCAAAGAGGAGACAGACAAAAAGCAACAACAUAGCGCAGCAGCGGCAGAAGCAGCGAAGCUCAGAGCUGCAAAAACCGAAAAACAACAGAGAAGAAAAGCACUGAAAGAAUAAGAGGAAGAUGGAGGAGGCGGAAAAAAGCAGCGGGCAGGCUGCCCAAAAGAAAGGCAACGAUAAACAAGCUACCUCUCUUUCAUUGGGGGUCUCCUCUCUCUCCCUCUCUCUAACUUGGAGCCACCGAAAACGAGAGGGUGUUGUCGGGGAAGGGGUGAGUGGCGGACGAGCAUUAGAAGCAGCGAAAAGCGAAACAAAAGAGCAGCGAAGAGUGCAGAGCAAAAUGCAGGUCCGCAAAACGGAGAGCAGAGAAAUCCACGAUGACCGAAGUCGGUUGUUGGUCGAAGGGGCUGUGUGCGGGUGUGAGGGGGAGCAGCGAAAGAGAGAGGGAGGCAGGCAGAGGAGACCCGGAGUCCGAAGCCCGGCUGUCUAAACCGGAGACCCAGCAACAACAGCACCAACAACUGCAACAACCAGGGCAAACAACAACUGCAUCACGAACACGCAACAAAGUGACGAAGCAACCGACGGACAGUGGGACGCAUUGGAGCUGGCACAGUGGGGCCAACGACGGGUGGGGGAUAGU